rnacentral:rRNA from 1 species
AUUGAACGCUGGCGGAAUGCUUUACACAUGCAAGUCGAACUGCAGCACGGGGCAACCUGGUGGCGAGUGGCGAACGGGUGAGUAAUACAUCGGAACGUGCCCAAUCGUGGGGGAUAACGUAGCGAAAGCUACGCUAAUACCGCAUACGAUCUACGGAUGAAAGCGGGGGAUCGCAAGACCUCGCGCGAAUGGAGCGGCCGAUGGCAGAUUGGGUAGUUGGUGGGGUAAAGGCUCACCAAGCCGACGAUCUGUAGCUGGUCUGAGAGGACGACCAGCCACACUGGGACUGAGACACGGCCCAGACUCCUACGGGAGGCAGCAGUGGGGAAUUUUGGACAAUGGGCGCAAGCCUGAUCCAGCCAUUCCGCGUGCAGGAUGAAGGCCUUCGGGUUGUAAACUGCUUUUGUACGGAACGAAAAGGCUCUGGUUUAUACCCGGGGCUCAUGACGGUACCGUAAGAAUAAGCACCGGCUAACUACGUGCCAGCCGCCGCCGUAA